rnacentral:rRNA from 1 species
GACGAACGCUGGCGGCGUGCCUAAUACAUGCAAGUCGAGCGCAGGAAAUCGAUGGAACCCUUCGGGGGGAAGUCGACGGAAUGAGCGGCGGACGGGUGAGUAACACGUAAAGAACCUGCCCUCAGGUCUGGGAUAACCACGAGAAAUCGGGGCUAAUACCGGAUGGGUCAUCGGACCGCAUGGUCCGAGGAUGAAAGGCGCUCCGGCGUCGCCUGGGGAUGGCUUUGCGGUGCAUUAGCUAGUUGGUGGGGUAAUGGCCCACCAAGGCGACGAUGGAUAGCCGACUGAGAGGGUGAUCGGCCAAGCUGGGACUGAGACACGGCCCAGACGCCUACGGGAGGCAGCAGUAGGGAAUCUUCCACAAUGGACGAAAGUCUGAUGGAGCAACGCCGCGUGAACGAUGAAGGCCUUCGGGUCGUAAAGUUCUGUUGUAAGGGGAGAACAAGUGCCGCAGGCAAUGGCGGCACCUUGACGGUACCUUGCGAGAAAGCCACGGCUAACUACGUGCCAGCCGCCGCGGUAACAC